rnacentral:lncRNA from 1 species
UAUUGCACAUCUAAGUCCUAUAGCAUUGAUCUUACGUGGAGAUUCAUGUUGUUUUUCUUUUUCUUUUCUUUUUUAUGUUUGAUUUAAUCAUUCAGAUGUAAAAUAACUAUGUCACAUUUAGAUGUGUCUAGCUAGACACAUCCGUAGUAGUAACAUCCAUUAAGAAGAGGAAACUUGUUAACAUGAAAUCUUGUUGUCGCCAAGUUAAAUGCGUCAUUUUCUUAAAUCAUAUAUGAACCUGUAUUUAAUUACCCAUCAGAUUGUCC